UGCUGUCCCUUCAAGCCUCACCCUGGAGCUGUGGGGGAAACACUGGCACAGGGAUGAUAGGCAGGGUGGCUGUUGCAGAGGGAUGGUGGGACCAGGGGGACCCUUCCAGUGGCUGAAAUCUCAGUGCACACUCCCAGCUUUGAGAAGAACUCUACAGGCCUCACAGUUUAGCCACACCCCAACCUUUGAGAAGAAGAACUCUACAGGCCUCACAGUUUAGCCAUCCAGGCCUCGCACAGCAGGAAGCUGAAUGCGCCUCUCUGGGGUGGUGAGCUGAAAUUCUGGCAGCUGUGGUUCACAGGAUCCUGUUGGUGCCAGUCUGCUGCUCACAGGAUCUGCAGAGCACCACGAGGCCUGAUGAAAGUCACAGUCUGCCCUGUCCUGGGAUUUUGGGAGCACACUACACAAAACUGCUCUGAUCUUCAGCCCUUGGCAGCAGCAUCCUGACCUGCAUGGGCUCCCACAUCACCCCCAGCAUGCCCAGGAGCAGGUAUCCCAAUGGCUGCUGGUUGCCAGCUUCUCCCUUAAUCUCAAUGACAAUAAAUAAACAUGAUUAAAUUAA